CGAAUUUUUAAAACUCCAAUCAAAGUGAAAACAGAUUCACCGCAGGUUUGCUAAUUUAUAGCACCAUGUCCGGAUCAAUACCGAGUCUGUCAGCAGUCAGUAAUAAUAAAGUCCAUUCUGAAGAAUUACCUACCGCAUGGGGAACAAAGCCUAAACAACCGAAGGAUUUUUCGGUGCUUGCAUUCAUAGUUACAGUAUUGUUUAAUCACAUAUGUGGAUUCUUUGCAUACCACUUCAACGUUUCAGCAAAGCACAGUUGGCACCUUCAUGAUUACAAAAAAGCAAGACGUCAUUCCAAAUACUCGGUUGCUCUCAUCAUACUUGGUAUAAUCAUUGGACUGGCUA